rnacentral:rRNA from 1 species
CCUACGGGAGGCAGCAGUGAGGAAUAUUGGUCAAUGGACGAGAGUCUGAACCAGCCAAGUAGCGUGAAGGAUGACUGUCCUAUGGGUUGUAAACUUCUUUUAUAUGGGAAUAAAACAGGGUAUGCAUACCCUCUUGUAUGUACCAUAUGAAUAAGGAUCGGCUAACUCCGUGCCAGCAGCCGCGGUAAUACGGAGGAUCCGAGCGUUAUCCGGAUUUAUUGGGUUUAAAGGGAGCGUAGGUGGAUUGUUAAGUCAGUUGUGAAAGUUUGCGGCUCAACCGUAAAAUUGCAGUUGAAACUGGCAGUCUUGAGUACAGUAGAGGUGGGCGGAAUUCGUGGUGUAGCGGUGAAAGGCUUAGAUAUCACGAAGAACUCCGAUUGCGAAGGCAGCUCACUGGACUGCAACUGACACUGAUGCUCGAAAGUGUGGGUAUCAAACAGGAUUAGAUACCCCAGUAGUC